UUUUUUCAGCCAAUGUAAUCAUGCGGGGGUUCUAGGGGAGACCGAAUUGCUCAUGACACCGUUGCUCGCGGCAGAAGUUGAACAUUUCUCAACUUUCCAAGCGGCAACGUGUGCGUCAGCCAAUCAGAUCGCCUUAUGCAAAUAACCUAGGCAGAGCCAGCUAAUUACGUUUAUGGAAGACCGGAGCAUGUGUGUAGCGGCCACUGUUAUUGGCUGUUGGCCACGCUUCAGACAGGCCUUCAGCGUUAACGCUGACGCCCCGUGUGAAUACGCCAUGGCGCCGCAAGAUCACACUGAACUGACAGGAUGAUGUCAAAGUACCGCGAGAGUUAAGGAAUCAUAUGGAGAUUUCGACUUGCUCUCGCGGUACUUUUACGUCACCCACCAGAUUUACGCCCUUGGACAGCCUGUUUACGCGCUGUCAUUCCUGCAGUAGACCAAUUCAGUCAGUGACUUCGAACUGUGCAGUGCUGCUUUCCAGUUGGCAAAUUUGUCUUACGUUGACGUUACCCUAAAUAAUUUCAUACCACAUCCAAGGUAGGUUCCCAGCUAACACACGAGGUACCAGUUACGUAAUUUAUUGGUAAUUUUUUUUAAUUAAUUUCCUGACUUAACAGCUGGCAACAUAACGUCCCAGUGAGGUAAUUUCAUCACCAUUACAGUUAUGUUAUAUAAACAUUCAUUUUCUUUUGUAUUUAGGUUAGUUUGUUAAAACUUUUCAGUCUUAAAGUUGGAAAUCGGUUUCUUAAUUAUUAAGUCGACUAUACACCACACUUGCUGCAUUUUACAUGGGAAACAAAAUACACCACGCGCCUCCAGCUGAACUAAUCAGACCAGAGCAUGCGCGCGUGCACAGCAGAGUCGUUUCUCUGAACUGAUACCCGUUUAAGUUUCACUUAUUUCUGUUGCUUAUGAGUUAUAAAAACACCCUUUAAACACGACUUAUUGGGGUAUAGUCUGAAUAAUAUCGUCUGGCGGUAAUAAAUGCGCGUUUUUAAUUUGCAAAGUAGGAAUGACCAUCCGAUAAGGAAUUUCGUUUUAUUAGGUAACGUUAAGACACGAGCUGGUUCACAAUAAAUAAACGAUUUUAUGAAAACGUAUAGAUAUAGACGUUCUUUACUUGUUGUCUUUAUUGUUAAGUUUAUGGGACACGUGUUUUGGACUGGUUAAGGUUGAGAGCAUUGUUACCCUGGCAACCAGAACAUGUGAGGACAGCAACUUCUCCGUCGGACAAAAUUAAGUCUGACAAAAAUGUUAUGGAGAAGCCAUUUAGAUGUUUAUUUUAACCUAUGUUUAUUUAAAUGUUUUGUAAUGUUUUAAACGCAUGUUCAGUAAAAUGAAGUAUUCACUCUGAGUCUGGUAUUCAUAUGUUAUUGGAAGUCUUUAAAAUAGUUAUGGGCAAAUAAGGACAAGUUAUAUUAGUUGUACUCCAGUUGUCUUCCCAAAUAAUACUAAAAAGAUUAAAAGAUUUAAAUUACUAACUGAUUACCAGCACAAAACUUUCAAUCCAUCGUCAAGACGUGACCACGACAGACAGUAACAUAGUUACCUCGAGGGAAUGAAUCCACGAUGAAACCAUUUUUUUUCAAUGUUCAAAAGCAAUGUAAUGUUUCUAAAUAUGGAUGCUUGUUGCAGUGUUCUAAUGGAUUUUUAUCUCUUUCUUUCAGGCCUUUCCCAUUUAAGACUGUGUGGCAAUCAUCACUCUUUGCUGUGAAUCUCUGUUGGCACUCAGUGAAUUUGCACUUUCUACUUUACAAACAUUAAGGCCUUUCUCAUUUGAGGCUGUCUGACCACCACUCUGCUGUGAAUCUCCCCUGGCACUCAGUCUUUCCGAUUUGAGUGCUGUCUCGCCUGGCACGUGAGUGCUGUCUCGCCUGGCACGUGAGUGCUGUCUCGCCUGGCACGUGAGUGCUGUCUCGCCUGGCACGUGAGUGCUGUCUCGCCUGGCACGUGAGUGCUGUCUCGCCUGGCACGUGAGUGCUGUCUCGCCUGGCACGUGAGUGCUGUCUCGCCUGGCACGUGAGUGCUGUCUCGCCUGGCACGUGAGUGCUGUCUCGCCUGGCACGUGAGUGCUGUCUCGCCUGGCACGUGAGUGCUGUCUCGCCUGGCACGUGAGUGCUGUCUCGCCUGGCACGUGAGUGCUGUCUCGCCUGGCACGUGAGUGCUGUCUCGCCUGGCACGUGAGUGCUGUCUCGCCUGGCACGUGAGUGCUGUGGGCACGUGAGUGCUGUCUCCCUUCCCCUGGCACGUGAGUGCUGUCUCCCUUGGCACGUGAGUGCUGUCUGGCACGUGAGUGCUGUCAAUCAAUCAUAAGCAGAAUCAUAAUCAUAUCUGUGAAACUACUAUCUUUGAAACUAUACUAUCUGUGAAACUAAAGUACCAGAAAUUGAGACUGUGGACAUUCUGUUUAACUAUACUAUCUGUGAAACUACUAUCUUUGAAACUAUACAAUCUGUGAAACUAAAGUACUGAAGCAAUACAUAUAUAUAUAUUGACCUACAUAGUGUUCACCACAUUCUGUUUACAGCUUGAUUAAUUUUUAAACAAGGUCUAGACUGUAUUGAUUGUUAACAGAUAAGCUGAAAAAAAUUGACAUUCGAACAAGCCAUAUUAAUAUAACAGUAUCUUUGUUUGACACAUAACAUUACUAUUUUUUUUCAGGAAUACUGUAAAUUGUUGAUCAUACUGUUAAUAUUUCUGCUGAAAACAAUAAUAUUCAUCUUGAAUCCAA